UGAACAGCAGAUGGGAAUUGAGAGAUUCGACAGCAGUUGGGGCAGAGGACAGAGAGGAGAGCAGAUGGGGAGGGGUCAUCCCCCGUCCAAACCUGGAUGGGGGAUGACAGAGAGAGAGACUAGAGAGAGUUCUUGGGGAGAUUCUGAGAAGACAAGAGCUGGUGUAAACUAACUCUUAUUUAAUCAUUUUGAACUAAUUCCUCCGUGGGGGAUAGCAGUUGUUUUUUCAUCUACCCAUUUUUGUAUUUUGAUUUUGUAAUAAACCUUUUUUGAAAAAGAAACAUAAUCCUGAUUCUUUCAGGUUUUCUCUAAAGCUUCACGAGUGGGGGCUCUGAUCAUUAAUUGCACAGAGAUGCUCAACAGGUGGUUCUGAUUAAAGAAGAAACUCAUGAAGAACAGGGUGCUGGUGUGGACCAGCAGGACCCAGAACAUCUCCACAUAAAGGAGGAACAAGAAGAACUCUGGACCAGUCUGGAGGAGACUGAUGGUGACAGGUUUCCAUUCACCGCUGUUUCUAUAAAGAGUGAGGAUGAUACAGAGAAACCUCUGUUCACUCAGCUUCAUCAUCAGCAAAUAGAAGACAGAAAUGUCCCAACCAGCAGCUCAGCUGACCAGAUGCCAUCAGACUGUGGUGGAGGAGCAGAAACUAGCAGGAACCCAGAUCUGAACCCUCAUCAAAAGACAUCCGAUUCUUCAGAGACUGAAGUUAGUGGAGAUGAUGAUGUGAAUCUAGACUCUGAGCUGUCAGAAUCUGGGUCUGAAACUGGAGAUGGAGACAAUGACUGGAAUGAGAGCAGGUCUUCUGAGUCUCCUAUCAACAAAUCCUUUAGCUGCCCUGAAUGUGGUGAAAAAUUUUUCCACAAGCAGUCUCUCCAAAAACAUGUGCAAGUGACAAGUCAUUCAGCAACAAAAUCUUCAAGCUGUUUGGUUAAUAAGAAAUGUGUUGAAGUGAAGAAAAAUUUAGACUCAUACAAGAAAGUCCAGAAAGAACAAAAAUUUAAUUGUGAUGACUGUGGAAAACAGUUUAGCAGAAUAUCAAAUUUAAACAUUCACUUGAGAGUCCACACGGGACAGAAGCCUUUUUUCUGUGAGCUUUGUGAACAAAGAUUUAGCAGCAAGACAAAUCUUAACAGACACAUGAGAGUCCACACAGGACAGAAGCCUUUGGCUUGUGUGCUCUGUGAACAAAGAUUUAGGGAUAAGUGUGCUUUAAAAAGUCACAUGAAUGUCCACACAGGACAGAAACCUUUUUUCUGUGAGCUUUGUGGACAAAGAUUUAGCCGGAAAACAAAUUUAAACAGUCAUAUUAAAGUCCACACAGGACAGAAACCUUUUGCUUGUGAGCUAUGUGGGCGAAGAUUUAGCCGAAAGACAAAUUUAAACAAUCACAUGAAUGUCCACACAGGACAGAAACCUUUUGCAUGUGAGUUCUGUGGACAAAGAUUUAGGGAUAAGUGUGCUUUAAAAAGUCACAUGAAUGUCCAUACAGGACAGACACCUUUUUUCUGUGAGCUUUGUGGACAAAGAUUUAGCCGGAAAAGAAAUUUAAACAGUCAUAUUAAAGUCCACACAGGACAGAAGCCUUUUGCUUGUGAGCUAUGUGGGCAAAGAUUUAGCCGAAAGACAAAUUUAAACCAUCACAUGAAUGUCCACACAGGAUAGAAACCUUUUGCAUGUGAGCUCUGUGGACAAAGAUUUAGGGAUAAGUGUGCUUUAAAAACUCACAUGAAAGUCCACACAGGACAGAAACCUUUUGCAUGUGAGCUAUGUGAACAAAGAUUUAGCCAAAAAUCAACUUUAAACACUCACAUGAGGGUCCACACAGGACAGAAACCUUUUGCCUGUGAGCUCUGCGAACAAAGAUUUAGCCAGAAGUCCAAUUUAAAUAGUCACAUGAGAGUCCACACAGGACAGAAGCCUUUUGCCUGUGCGUUCUGUGGAAAACAAUUUACUAACAAAAAAAAUCUAAACAUACAUACAAGAGUCCACAAAGGACAGACAGCAUUCCAAACGGAUCCCUUGUAGCUUUACACCCCAAAUUUCAGUUUUGUCCCCCUGGUUGCAGUUGUUUACAUCAGGGAUGCAUCUGGCCCAUUAGACACAAUUUCUAAUCUGUGAGCCAUAUUUUGUUGUAGCAUUUUGUAAGUGGUUACUUUUAAUAAAUUGUUGAUAAAACACGAAGGUAUUCAGUAAGAUUUUAUAUUCCAUAUCAAUAUGAAUUAUCAAUAUCAUUGAACCUUUAAUAUUCAAUCGAUGAUGGAUAAUAGAUCUUUUGGGUAUGCCAGGGAAACAGCACUUUAUAAUUAUUUGACAUGGAGAUUAAAUAAAGUUAUGAAAAUGAAUUUAAUACUAUAUUUCUGAUGAUACAGGGCAAAUGAUUAUAAAUGACAGUGUUUCCCCUAGGAAUUUUUCCAGCUGUGGCGGUGGGGCCAGCCGGGGGGAUGCUUGGGGAGAAAUUAUGACACGUCUCUAAAUAAAGUAAAAUUUUCUAGUGCAGAGUGGAAACAACCCACAGAAGCACUAAUUUGAUCUCAUUUCAGAGAAAAAUAGAACAGGUCAGAUGCACCUAAUAAAUAAAAUUACUAACAAAGUCAGGAAUCUGCUUCACUUUUCUGGUGCUGAAAAUAUCACUUAUGAGGAUCAAAGGAGAUACACAGAUGAAUGCACCUCUUAUUUAUUAUUUGGAGACUACAUUUACUGCAGCUGGAAGAGGCAGAUAUUUUUUCUAUUGAUACAUGGAAUUUACAGAAUCAUUUUAAAUUUUAAUAGGGGAAGACUGCAGGAGGAAGCGGUAAAAUACAGGGGGUCCCCAGCAAAAACAAGAACCUUUACGAGUCUGAUGAAACCCGCUGGUAUUCCAUCAGUCACGGGGCAGCUCCAACGACCCAGUGGCUGUGCUGGGUCAGUUAUCGAGCUCAGUCCGGCUUGGCCGUGAAUGAGCUGAGGCGACGUCGUGCUCUGCUUAAGAAGAAGUGUUAUUUUCCCGCUUCAGAAGAAGCUUCCAACGUGUUUUUACGCUUUCUCCGAGACCUGUCACGUCGCUAAGUUGUUAGCGCUGCGCGCUAACACGUCAAUAGUGCAGCAUAGCCUGCUGGAGGUUUUAAGGGUUCAGAUGAAAACACCCGACCUCUCAGGCUGCUCACACAUCGAUCUUAAGUUGUCGCUGUUGCGCUCACGCUGUAAUACAGUAUUAGAUGCGGUUAAAGUCAGACAUGAAAAAAUAAAUAAAUUUUACAUGAAUAAGUGAUGCUUAGCCUGGCGGGGGGAGGAAAACCUGUCAAGAUCGUCAACACUCAUUUAUCUUAAUGCUAUUGUAAACCAAAAAGCAUUAUAUCCACUCCUACCUUUCUAAUUUUAAACUCAGUAACUUAUGCUGUAACUUCACCUUGCUCUGCCUACUCCUCCUUGCUGCCUGCCGGCUGUGAUCACAAGCGACAACAUAGUAGUUCCCGCUGCUUCUUCGGGAAACAGCGCAAGAAAAAAAGAACAACUUGGGAUCUUGUUGGUGUGGCGGUGGGAUUUCAGCCGUGGCGGCCCGCCACGGCUAUGUCUAUGUAAGGGAAACCCUGAAUGAAGAUCAUUUGACAAUGAGUGAACUCCUGAAAUAUGAGCUUAGAUGUUAUGUUAAAAAGCCUAAUUAAGUGUGUAAGAAAAUGUGAAAUCUAGGUAUAGAAACUAUAUUCGAUGAAUUGGAUUUAGUUAUUAAUUAUUAAUAUAAACCAUCCAGCACCAGUGUGUAGAAUCUAAGAACCGAAGUGGUGAGAGUUUUCAGGAGAUCCAGCUGGCACGAAGUCCUCUCGACAAGUAUGGCCAGGGAUUUGGACUCCCAUAGUGUCCAAAGGCCGUAGGUCUUUUUGAACAUGGGCUGGGCAGCUCAAAAAGAUACUAUCUGGGUGACUGCUUGAAGCUGGCGGAGAUGUUUUGCAUCUGAUGGCAAGUUUAACAAAGAAAAAUUGAUCUUGGAAAAGGAUGGUUCAAAUGCCGCUACAAUUACUCUACUGAAAGAUUUGGAUUUAAUCCCCAAAGGAUGGCAAUUUAGCAAAAGCUGGAGCUUUAGCUGGAACUGAAUUUUAGAGGAAAUUAACAGAACUUUUAAAGAUAAUUUGAUUAUAAAUAUUAGACAAAUCAGAAUCCAGAAAAUGCAAUUUAAUUGUGAUGACUGUGGAAAACAGUUUAGCAGAAUAUCAAAUUUAAACAUUCACUUGAGAGUCCACACGGGACAGAAGCCUUUUUUCUGUGAGCUUUGUGGACAAAGAUUUAGCCAAAAGACACAUUUAAACAGUCACACUAGUAUCCACACAGGACAGCAGCCAUUUGCCUGUGAGCUCUGUGGACAAAGAUUUAGCAACAAGACAAAUCUUAACAAACACAUGAGUCCACACAGGACAGAAGCCUUUUGCUUGUGGUCUCUGUGAACAAAGAUUUAGCCAAAAGACACAUUUAAACAGUCACUUGAGAGUACACACAGGACAGAAACAUUUUGCCUGUGAGCAAUGUGAACAAAGAUUUAGCCAGAAAUCAACUUUAAGCUGUCACAUGAGAGUUCAUACAGGUCAGAAGCCUUUUGUCUGUGACUUCUGUGGACAUAGAUUUAGUGAUAAGAGAAAUCUAAACAGACACACACGAGUCCACACAGGACAGAAACCUUUUGCCUGUAAAUGAUGUGAACAAAAAUUUAGCCAUAAAUUAACUUUUAAGAGUCACACGAGAGUCCACACAGAACAGAAAGAACCACAAGAAUUCCAGAAGAGUCAAUUGUAGUUUUUACACCUCACACCAGUCUUGUCCCCCUGGUGACAGUUGUUUACACUACAUCAGGGCUGCAUCUGGCCCAUGAGACACCAUUUCUGGCCUGCAAGCCACAUGUUGUUGCUCCCCAAGCUGCAAAUGUUUCACUAAAUUUUUUUCAAUCGAGAGGUGGUGCUCAUCAUUAUACAACCAUGAGCUGCAGCCUGAGCUACUGUCCUAGUUUUCCUUUUCAACUGACAAUUACGUAGUCCUUCUUUGCCAUGGAAAUUAACUUACUCCCAAACAAAACUUUCCACUGCAUUUUAUUUCUGUCAUUAAAGGACCUGCUGAGAUCAAUUCAGCAAUUGGACUUGUGAUCACACGUGAUUAAGCAUAGCAUUCUGGGAUGUGCGCGGACACAUUGGAAGCUUGUCGAGUAUAAACAGUCCAUGAAUCAAACAGUACUGUCGCAGAGAAAAAGCGGAUUUGAGUGAAAGAAAGUGUUAAAUAACAUUAUAAAGUCCCAAAAAGGAUGCGGAAUAUACAGGGAUACGUUAAAUAAAGACGUCGGGUACCGGUAUGUGGACAAAAUCUGAGUUAUAAAUGUUUUUUAUCCACAUGAAAGACCCCAAACCGGAGCACCGAUGACAUAUUGUUGCCGCUGCAAUUCUGCAUAAUGGACAUUUUCGGCUUUCUUGUUUGUGGUGUGAGCGGAUGUAAACAUUCGGAUAAGAGAUAAAUGUUUUGUUGGUUUUUCAAGUAAAACAAUCACAUUUGUCAUCCCACAGAAGAAGUGUUGCAAGAGAAGUUGUGUGUCAGUGCACCCGCAUGUGUGUGUGUGUGUGUGCGCAUGCUUGUGGUUUGUGAGAUCUAUUUGUCAGGUUACACACUAGCAUUAUGAAACCAAUAGGUUUAUGAGACCAUUUUUGACAGUCUCAUAAUUCGUGACUUUUAAAGUGUUGUAAUAUUUGAAAAACAUAAAAAGUAACCGUUAAUAGAUUAAUACAAACUUUGUAACAGCCGUUAUCAUUUUAUUUAGUUAUUUCAGCAACUUAAUCUUCCUUUUGUGUUUUAUAGCCAAUUUAAAAACUGAUAAACUAGCCUUUUAGAUGGAGGCAUGUUGGAGGCAGGGCAAGGGAGAGCCGUCUUUACAGACUGUAUUCUCCACUGUACACAACAAGCAUCGCAUGGAACCAUUGCCAAAUUAACACCUUCCCAAAUUUUUAUUUAACUAGUCAUUUAUUUGUUUUUAAUGUCUCUACUGCUUCGAUGAAAAACAGAUUGAGGUCAAAAAGUCAAGAGAAAAAAAAACCUUGGUCAGAUUUAAAUAAAGGAACAUCAUAAUGAAAUGCGCUUUUUUUUAACUUGUUUGUCACGGCUUAUGAAGCAAAUAUAAAAAUAACAAAAAUUUAACAGAAACAUCAACUGUCUUUGAUUAAAAUAUUUGUCUGGGGAAAUUAUUACAACGUAUGUGUGGUUUAUUAGUCAAAUGCAGAACACACGUCUGUAGAAAUUACUCUAGUCCAGCAGGUGGCGCAAGUGCACCUUUACGCUGGUCACCGACCACCGGAAAAAGCAGAAACCGGAAGCUGCUAGCAAAGCUAGCUUGUUGUUCUGGUGUGUGAGGAGAAUAUUUGAGGCUCUGCAGUAAAAAUGUCUUCACUUCAGUCUCUGGGAGAGUUGAUCAGCUAAAGCGACUAACUGCUGCUGCUGCAGAAAUUGUAAAGAAAACCUGCUACCACUUCAGGAUCAUCCAUCAGCUGGGACUGAUUCAUCGUGUGUUCUUCACCAUCUGGACCUGGACAGCAUGGACACAGAACUCCCACUGCAUGAUGUCAGCAAAGAUGUGGAGGUUCUGACUGACCAGCAGCUCUGGAACCAGGAGAGGACCUCCAGUUUGGACCAGGAACAACCAGAACUGUUACAGGAGGGACCAGAACCUCCACAGAUAAAAGUGGAGCAGGAUGAGUCAGAACCUUUGCAGGUUCUAGAACAAGAGGAGCUCUGCAUCAGUCAGGAUGAAGAGCAGCUUGUACUGAAGCAGGAGACGGUUACCUCCCUUGUGACUCCUGCUGAUGAGGACAGAGACCACCAUGGACCAGAACCAGACAGACACCAGCUCCUUUUGUCACUGUUUCCUGAGGCUGAGACCAGAGCUGCUGCUCCAGGGUCAACAGAACUUCCACAGCAUCAUGUCUGGGGAAAGGAGGGGGUUUUGACUGACCAUCAGCUCUCUAACCAGGAGACCACCUCGGAUUUGGACCAGAAGGAACCAACACCUCCACUGAUCAAAGAGGAACAAUAUGAACUCAGUAUCAAUCAGCAUGAAGGACAGUUCAUUCUGAAGCAAGAAAAUGUUACCUUUAUGGUGACUUCUCCUUCUGCAGAAACAUGUCAGCCAGAACCAAACAGGAACCAACUCUUGUGCCAGGGUUCUACUGGAGCUGAGAACCAAGAUCAGGAUGGAUAUAGUACUGAAAACUCAGAACCUAACAGCAAUGGAGAACUUACACAAAAUAAAAAAUGUCAACAAACCAAAGAUCACAAACACAGGAUAGACAGCCAGAAACUAAAAAAGCACAAGAAGGCUCACAGAGACAAGAGAGCAUUUACAUGUAAAAUGUGUGGAAAAUUAUUCAGUCGCAAUUGGUUUUUAACUCUUCACAUGAGAACCCAUACAGGUGAGAAACCAUAUUCAUGUAAAACUUGUGGUAAAUGUUUUUCUAGGAGUGAUAACUUGACUAGUCACAUGAGAAUUCACACAGGUGAGAAACCACACCUAUGUAAAUUUUGUUGUAAAUGUUUUACUAACAGGAGUGACUUGACUAAUCACAUGAGAACUCACACAGGUGAGAAACCACACACCUGUAACAUCUGUUGUAAAUGUUUUACUAUCAGGAGUGACUUGACUAGUCACAUGAGAACUCACACAGGUGAGAAACCAUUUCCAUGUAAAACUUGUGGUAAAUGUUUUUCUAGGAACGAUAACUUGACUAGUCACAUGAGAACUCACACAGGUGAGAAACCACACCCAUGUAAAAUUUGUUGUAAAUGUUUUACUAACAGGAGUGACUUGACUAGUCACAUGAGAACUCACACAGGUGAGAAACCAUAUUCAUGUAAAACUUGUGGUAAAUGUUUCUCUCAAAGUGGUCACUUGACUAGACACAUGAAAACUCAUCACAUGUGAGAAGUAUUUUCCAUGAUUGAUCUGUAGGGCAUGAUUCAGACCAAUAUUUUCCUUGUUCUGGCCAAGGACAAAAUGACAGCGACAAACUCAGUGGGGCCCAAACCUGCAACCGCAAAUGUUGCAGUUCUAUGGACAUUGAAACUUUUGAACUAUUGGAUAUUAGACAGAAAUGGAGAUCUUUUUUUUUGUGUGUGGAUUAAGUAAAUAAAUGACCAGUGGCGGCUCAUCUUUAGGGGGUGCUAGGGUGCCACCCUACCAGUCUCACGGGAAGAGGAGAAAGAAGAAUAUAGGAAGUUACCAUUUCUACACUGACGAUUAUCAGAUCUACCUCGGGACAAAUGGACCAAACACAGACUCGCUACUGUUGGAAUGUCUCUCGGAGGAGAAGGGAUGUUAGCAGCCAAAUUCCUUAGACUUAACAAGUUUAAUACUGACUGAAGUAUUUUUUUUAUCAAAUACUGUAUCUCACACUUCAUCUGCUAUCAAUCCUCUGAACUUUGACUUCAAACAGUGUGUGACCAAUCUGGGGGUGAAAUUGGAUGGUGGGUUAUCGAUGGUCCCUCAGAUAAAUGCGGUGGUAAGGUCAUGUAUUUUUUUUCAACUACGCCUUCUAACUCGCGUUAAGAUGAUACUGAAAUGAUCACAUCUGGAAUCUGCUUUUCAUGCCUUUCAUCACCUACCGUCUGGACAAUGCUAACGCACUUCUUAUUGGUACUACGGUUUCGGCCUUGAACCGGCUGCAUUUAGUACAGAAUGCUGCAGUAUGGUUCCUAACAAACACAAAUAGACACAGUCACAUCACCCCGGUUCUGUCGCAUUUACAUUAGCUUCCAGUAACAUUCAGGGGGAGAUAUAAAAUUCUGCUUUUUGUGUUAGAGGCCUUAAAUGGUCUUGCUCUAACCUAUUUAUCAGAGCUGCUUACACAGUACGUACCGGCUCGCUCACUGAGAUCGGCUGACUGCUGCUCUGUGCCCAUGAAAUAUAAAACAAUGGGGGAGCGGCGGUGGUCGGCUGUGGUGGCCUGGGUGCUUUCCAGGUGUGCCUAGGUGGAGGUGGGGGCCUCUGCCCUCCCUGCCCUGGGCGCCUUGUGUCGGUGCCUUGGAUGCUGCUGUGGAUCUGCUGCUGCCGGGGUAGAUGUCUCCCCUGACGGUGUUUCCUUAUCCUUAGCUUAGCUGAUCUGGCUCAUCUGAUCUCAGUCAAUUGUUUUGUUUUUUUUUACCAUGGGGAAGGGGGCAUGUGUGUGUGGUGUGCGUGUGUGCCGGAGGAUGAGUGUUGUGAAGGGGUUGUUAGUGUCAGACUUUUUAAAAUUCUGGGGGUAGGAGGGAGUGUGGGUAUGCGGGGCCUUUUUAAUUUGUUAAAUACUUUGAGUUGCCUUCGGGUCGGGGAACAGGUCCUGACUGUUGUUUGUGCUUAUGGGCCAAAUAUCAGUUCAGAGGACCCACCCUUUUUGGAGUCCCUGGGAUGAGUGCUAGAUAGUGCUCCAUCAGGGGACUCCAUUGUCCUGCUGGGGGACUUCAAUGCUCACGUGGGCAAUGACAGCUUGACCUGGAGGGGUGUGAUUGGGAGGAACGGCCCGCCUGAUCUGAGCUCAAGUGGUGUUUCUUUAUUGGACUUCUGUGCAAGCCGCAGUUUGGCCAUAACGAACACCAUGUUCGAACAUAAGGAUGCCCAUCGGUACACUUGGUACCAGGGCAGCCUAGGUUGCAGGUCGAUUAGAUAGACUUUGUAGUCGUAUCAUCUGACCUGCGGCCGUAUGUUUUGGACACCUGAGUGAAGAGAGGAGCGGAGCUGUGAACUGAUCACCACCUGGUGGCGAGUUGGAUCAGAUGGCAGGGGAAGAUGCCACGUAGACCUGGCAGACCCAAACGCAUAGUGGGGGUCUGCUGGGAACGCCUGAUAGAAGAACCUGUUAAGACGGUUGGGGAUGGGGAGAUGCUGACGUCAACUGGGGCUAUAGUCGGACGGUGGAAGGAAUACUUUGAGGAGCUCCUCAAUCCCACCUAUGAGCAUUCCGAGUAGGAAUCAGAGCCGGGAGACCUGGGGAUGGACUGUCCAAUCUCGGGGGCAGAAGUUGCUGAGGUAGUCAUGCAACUACACAGCAGCGGAGCCCCGGGGACGGAUGAGGCUCAUCCUGGGUAUCUCAAGGCUAUGGAUGUUGUAGGGCUAUCAUGGUUGACACGUCUCUGCAACAUUGCAUGGUCAUCGGGGGCAGUUCCAGUGGAGUGGCAGACCAGGGUGGUGGUCCCCAUCUUUAAGAAGGGUGACCUGAGGGUGUGUUCCAACUAUAGGGGGAUCACACUCCUCAGCCUCCCUGGAAAGGUCUACUCCAAGGUAUUGGAGAGGAGGAUCCGAUUGACCAGCUCUAUACCCUUGCAAGGGUGAUGGAGGGGGCAUGGGAGUUUGCCCAACCAAUCCACAUGUGUUUUGUGGAUUUGGAGAAGGCUUAUGACCGUGUCCCCAGGGGCACCCUGUGGGGGACGCUCCAGGAGUAUGGGGUGGGUGGCUUUCUGUUAAGUGCCAUUCAGUCCCUUUACCAGAGGAACAUGAGUUUGGUCCGCAUAGCCGGUAGUAAAUCAGACCUGUUCCCAGUGAGGGAUGGACUCCGCCAAGGCUGCCCUUUGUCACUGGUUCUGUUCAUUACCUUUAUGGAUAGAAUUUCUAGGCGCAGCCGUGGUGUGGAGUGUGUCGAGUUUGGUGGCAGGAGAAUCUCGUCUCUGCUUUUUACGGAUGAUGUGGUCCUCCUAGCUUCAUCCAGCUCUGACCUUCAGCUCUUGCUGGGUAGGUUCGCGGCCGAGUGUGAAGCGGCUGGGAUGAGGAUCAGCAACUCCAAAUCUGAGACCAUGGUUCUCGACUGGAAAAGGGUGGCUUGCCAACUCCGGGUCGGGGGAGAGCUCCUACCUCAAGUGGACGAGUUUAAGUAUCUCGGGGUCUUGUUCACGAGUUAGGGUAGGAGGGAUCGGGAGAUCGACAGGCGGAUUGGUUCAGCGUCUGCAGUGAUGUGGACGCUGAGCCAAUCUGUCGCGGUGAAGAGGGCGCUGAGCCAGAAAGCCAGGCUCUCGAUUUACCGGUCGAUCUAUGUCCCAAUCCUCACCUAUGGUCAUGAGCUUUGGGUAAUGACCGAAAGAACGAGAUCGCGGAUACAAGCGGCCGAAAUGAGUUUCCUCAGUAGGGUGGCCGGGCUCAGCCUUAGAGAUAGGGUGAGGAGCUCGGACAUUCGAGAGGCACUCGGAGUAGAACCGCUACUCCUCCGGAUCAAAAGGAGCCAGUUGAGGUUGUUUGGGCAUCUGGUCAGGAAGCCUCCUGGACGCCUCCCCGGGGAGAAGUUUUGAGCAUGUCCCGCCGGCAGGAGGCCCCCGGGUCGACCCAAGACACGUUGGAGAAGUUACAUCUCCAAUCUGGUCCAGGAACGUCUUGGGGUCCUGCCGGAGGAGCUGGUGGAGAAGGCUGGGGAGAGGACGGUCUGGAGCUCCCUAGUUGGGAUGCUGCCCCCGCGACCCGGACCGGAUAAGUGGAGGAAGACGACAACUUUGAGUUGCAUGUAUUGUAGGAUAAAGUGCUAUAUAAAUAAAAGUUGAUUGAUUGAUUGAGCAAGCUUUUGAGUGUGUCACCCCAGUGUUCUGGAACACACUACUCCUUUCUAUUAGGCAGCCUUCAUCCAUUGCUGUGUUUAAAUCUCAGCUGAAUACUCACUUGUACAAAUUGGCUUUUGAACAAUGCCUCUUUUAUUGUGUUUUUACUGAUUGUUCUUAUCUGUAAUAUGUUUUAUGAUUGUUAAAAAAUAAUUUACCAGCCGCAACAGUAAAUGAUGACCUUUUUUUUUUAACAAAAAUACUUAAGAGCACCCCUCCUUUGGCAGCCACCCAUCAUGUGGUGGCGGGGUUUGAGUCUCCCAAUGGUCCUAGGAGCGAAGUUGUCUGAGGCUUUAUGCCUCUGGUAGAGUCAUCCAUUGCAAACAGGUCCUAGAUGAGAGAUCAGACAAAGAGCAGCCCAAAGUCCCCUUAAGAAGAAAAAUUUACUUGUAAACAGUAUUCUCUCACUCGGACACGGGUCUCCGGGGCCCUCUUCUGGAGCCAGGCCUGGAGGUGGGGCACACUGGCGAGUGCCUGGUGGCCGGGCUUUCACCCAUGGGGCCCAGCUGGGCUCAGCCUGAUGAGUAUGUGAGUAUUGUGAUUGGGCCUCAGAGAGGCCAAAGGAACAGCAGCAGAUCCAGAGGCAGGAAAUCUAGAGAAAAGCUUUUCUAACCCACAACCUGAUUCUGGAGCUCCGAUUGUCACGAAGACCGCAGAAUAUCUUCUCCGGUUCUGGAAAGAACUCCACCAAGUUGAGGAGGAGAAGAAAGUUUCCACAGCCUGGUGAGAAGAUUUCUGCAGCAGCAGCAGUUAGUCGCUUUAGCUGAUCAACUCUCCCAGAGACUGAAGUGAAGACAUUUUUACUGCAGAGCCUCGAAUAUUCUCCUCACACACCAGAACAACAAGCUAGCUCUGCCAGCAGCUUCCGGUUUCUGCUUUUUUCGGUGGUCGGUGACCAGCGUAAAGGUGCACUACCGCCACCUUUUGGACUUUCUGAGCUCUGAUGAACAAUAUAAUGAAAGAAUAAUGCUAAUUAAUUACAUGUUCUAUAUAUUAUCAACUGAAUACAAUACUAUAAUAAUAUAUACUAUUAAAUACUCUAUAUAUGCUGUAAGGUAGAAAAACAAGGGCCCAGGUGCAAUUUGACCCCCAGGUGAGUCAUGCGCGCUAACCAGUCAGCCAAAGAGACAUCCCCUUGGCCUAGUAGCCAGGGCGCAUGAUCAAUCGGGACACUGUGGCAGGAUGCUCACACUGCCACAUAUACAUAAAUUAUAGAUUAUUAUAACACACCGACCACUGCCCAGUUCUCUAACCCACCAGCACAAUCAGCAGCAGACAGAGAUGUGGACGUCCUAAAGACGAGACACUCAGACACAAGAGGACCAAUGUGGUUUCUGCCAUCCAGGCCGGUGAGGAGUGCUCUGAGCAGUACAUUGGGGAGACUGAACAGCAUCAACUAAAGAGGAGGAGCCAACACCUCAGGACCACAAUCAGCUGUCAGGACACCUGAGGACAAAGAUGUUUGUGUUUUAGACAGAGAACACAAGUGGUCUGAGAGAAGCUUCUGGAAGGUUUGCUUGUGUAAACAGACAAGCCCUCUGAAGAUGCUGAACUCUUGCAACAGAAUGAUUUUAUCUUCAUGCUCAUGUUAACAGGCUUAAAGUAGAAGUGAUCCUGAGCCUGAAAGGUUUUGGUCAGAACAAGGAAAUCAUAACAUAAUUUUUGUCAUCAUUGGUUAAAAUGCUCUUUUAAAGGUGAUUCUAACACAACAACCAUGGAAACUUCUAGUAAAAAUGAGCUGAAUGUUUGAAGUAGAAACUAGAAAAGAACACAAAGUCAGAUCUACGUUCCAGAGGACACGAACACAGACUUAGCUAACAGCAAAGGGACACAUUUGUGUCAAUAAUCUGAACCCAGACCAGUUUUAGUCCUGGCUUUAAACCUGGAUCAGCCUGAAGUGGAGAAUUGUUAUCAGCAGAAAAUGUGGACCUGAGCAGGUGUUACUGCCUUGAACUCCAGCUGUGCUGUCAAUGAGAAGCGUGAUGAUGUCACUUGUUUCUGAGGCCUCCAGCUGAUCUAAAAUGCUGCUGCAGCCAGACUCGUGAGGAGACAUCAGAUUUCUCCCACCUGAACUUGUUUCUCACCCUAAGAAAACCAGGCAUGAAAUAAGUAGUUCCUCCAGACAAUUUAGAUGUUGAAUUCUAAAAACUCAGAUGGAUCAGUUUCCUCUUUGUUCCUAAAAACCUGCAACUGUGUGAUUCCGGUUAAAUCUGCUCAAUUGAUCAUUUCUCUCUGAUCUUCAACUGUUUCACUUUCCACUAUUAUUAUUCUCAACCUGUCGCCUUUUGAACUGAAGCUGUAAUCCACACAUUCAUCUCUUCCUUGUUGUUGCUGUUCAUGCUGUUCCAACUCCAGCCCAGCAGGUGGCGGUAAAGUACUUUUCUGCUGGUCACCAACGACACAUAACCUGUUAGCAGCGUUAGCUUGUUGCUCGUUAGCAGCGUUAGCUUGUUGUGUGGGUGUGUGAGGUGAACCUCAGGUUCUGCAGCAACAAUGUCUUCAGCUCAGUCUCUGAGAGAGUUUAUCAGAGAGCGGCUAACUGCUGCUGCUGCAGAAAUAUUCUCCGAGUUUGAACAAACCAUCGUCCGCUACGAGGAAGAGCUCGAUCGUCAGCGCAGACUGCUGGAGAUCAGCUGGAAACCACAGAUCAACUUACACAGAAUAGAACCUCCACAGCAUCAUGUCUGGGAAAGGGAUAAGGUUCUGAUAGACCAGUAGCUGUCUAACCGGGAGACCACCUCAAUUUUGGACCAGAUGGAACCAGAACCUCCACUGAUGAAAGAGGAACAGCAGGAACUCUGUAUCCGUCAGCAUAAAGGGUCAUUCAUUCUGAAGCAGGAAAAUGUUACCUUCAUGGUGAUUUCUCCUGAAGAAACAGACAGCUCUGAACCAGAACCAAACAGUAAUCAACCCUUGUGUCAGAAUUCUACUAAAUCUGAGAACCAAGAUCAGGAUGGAUACAGGAAUGAAAACUCAGAACCAAACAGCAAUGAAGAAUUGACACAAAGUAAAAAUGUCAACAAACCAAAAAUCACAAAGACAAUGUAGACAGUCAGAAACCACAGAAGCACAAGAAGGCUCACAGAGAUGCACCGUUUACAUGUAAAAUCUGUGGGAAAUCUUGGAGUCGCAAUUGGUUUUUAACUCUUCACGUGAGAACUCAUACAGAGAUUCUUCUGAUGAAGAGCCAUCCAUCAUCACCAGCAAUAGACAAUGUCAGAGACAGGAUGCUGCUGGAGAUGCUCCACAUCUUCUGGACUCCUGGACAACAAAGUCAGUCCCGGUGCCGCUGACCCACGACACCCAGAUUUAUCUCCAGAAGAACCCUGGCUAUCGGCUCCCUCUCACCACCAGCUCCACAAACAAACCAACAAGUAGCAGACGAAGGCCAUGAGACAUCAACCAUUUCAGGAGCAGCAGUGUGCACAGCUGCUUGUGACGGGAGCACAUUCAACGGGGAACCGCAUUAUGCCGACAAACGGUUUGGACCCAUAUGAUCCAACAACGACUGGAGCACCAGCAACAACAUGUUGCCGUGGCAGUUCUGCAUAACUGAUAUUUUCGGAUAUCAUGUUUGUGGUGUGAGCGCUCACUCUUCAGAACUGUCCUGGAGCUACAAGUCGUUGGGGUCUUGUGUGAAGUUUUCAAACGAUUGGGUUCGGGAGCUGGAGAUCAUGAAACCUGCUAACAGAACAGCAGUCCAAACAAAGGUCUUGCACUCCCAGUGCAUCAGAGACUCCUCUGGAGCCAUGGGUGAUCAUUGCUAACAGUGGCCAGGUGUGCUGUGCACACUGUACGUGCAUGGCUGGCACUGCAGAGUCAUGUUUUCAUGGUUAGGGCUCUGAUGUUUAGGACUGAGACAGCAGUCUGCAUCUGCAGAAUAAAGACAGUGAUGUGUCUGCCUAUUGUUAAAUCCCAUCUGAGACUAACAAUGUCUAUGGUAAGGUUGACCAUAAGAUGGACUUUAGUUAUGCGAAAGCGCAGCAGGACGACUUGUUUCUGCUCCCUAUUCUCCACAAAUAAGUCUGUAUGUCAACCAUGGACACAUACUAUCAUGACUCGGCUGACUCUCACCUGGCAGCUGUGAUGCCAAAACCCCUGCAAGACCAUCUGGUGCACCCCCAGGUUCUUAACAACAGUGACUGUAAAACCCAGGGGUUCCACCUUAACGAUGUUGGACUUGAUGCAACCACAGCAGCAGAUCACUCCUGGUUCUGUGAUGCUUUUUGUGGUCCUGCAGCUGUCCAAAAGAAACAUCUACAUUUUAUAAUGACAGAAAAAAUUGUACUUCCUCCGUUUUUUUGUGUUUGUUUUUAUGUUUAUCUUUUCAUAUUAUAUUGUCUAAGGAAGAUUUUUACAUUCUCUGUUGCAUUUUGCCUUGAAGCGUCCCAACUGCUCUGUUCUGUGUUCUCGGGAUGUUAAUAAAUGCUGAAAAAUUCUGAUUGUGACAGUUCUGACAUUUGCACAUUACACUAUUAUUGCUUUGACUCUCUAAAGCCCUUUUCAGAUUGGCAUUCUGGAAUAUGUGUGGACAAUUCAGUCCGGUUUUUAACCAGAACUGUGUUUUCAGACACACCACUUUUGUACCUGAACUUGUCCUUUCGGCUGCCUUCACACAGCAGGGAAAAGUUCCAGUUCCAUAUUGCGUAAACAUAGUGCGGCGGGCGUACAUGCGUCAUUUACCCAAACAAAGCCAUUCAGUCAAACAUGGCCGACGAAGAAAUAGAAUUCCUCUCACUGAUCGGACUUCUGUUAAGCAUAAUUCUGCGCACACGAAGAUGCAUAAGAGACCUGGAUGAUGAAGCUCAAUGGUUAAAGGAAUCACGGAAGCUGUGUGAAGCGCUCCGUCGCGCGUCUAGCAGACGGUAUACCGUAGGAGGCGAGCUGCCGUGGUUCGCCGCAUGCUACAGAAGCGGGCUAUCUAGGUGCUCACAGUGUCCCCCGGUCCCCUCCUCCUCCCCCUCCUCCCUGUCCGGAACUUGGCCUCACCAGUCUGAAGCAGCCACCUUGUCUGUGACAAGUCCGGUCCUGUUACUAGAGGCUUCGUCCGGUUUAAUUACGGAAAAGUUUAUCCGGAUGUUUGUAUUCGGACACAAAGGUCUUAAGGACAGAGUCCUGAACAUUUUCGUUUUUCAUGGCCUGUCUGAAGGGGGCUUAUGACACAUUUACGCUUAUCGUGAAGAAUAUAAAUAUGAAUGCAAACACUUUUUUUACUGUAUUUAAUAGACUUUAAUUUCAUCACAACACUCAAGCUCGUGUUUGUCAAAGGACAACACAUGGAUCUUAUCAAGGAAUGUCGUGUCUUCGUCCUAACGUGGUAACACUACGUGUGUCCGUACUUUAGCUGACAUAAUAUUGUGUACUUGUUGCAAACAGUUCUUUCCACAUGAAUUCAGAGGUUGACCAUUUUCCUUGUGUAUUCCACUUCUUGUCACUUACUGAGCUGUUUUCACUGGAUAUGUUUUAUGUCAAAGUGAAAUCGGUCAUGUAGAAAGUUUCAUGAAGUGUUUAGACACUGAGACGCUGGGGAAGCUAAAAAGGCUAAAGAAUAAAACUAAAUAUUUCUGUAACUGAUGUCAUUAACACUUUUAAUCCAUAAAGUAUACCUAACCUAUGAAUGGAAACCAAACUUUAGGUGUUAAUGAAGCAACACUUGAUUGAGAUUGCCUCAGAUGUUUGUGAAUCAUCAGCUAAAUUAAGGUCUAACCACCUGUGUUUGCAGCAGCACUCCAGAGGCUACGCCAUUGUGUGACUCUGAUGCAUGGAGGUGUGAAAAAACAAUCGGUCUAAAGGGAACUGAUUUUAGGAGCAACUGACAGUCAACAAAACAGAAAACACACCUUAAAUCUCUCUGGACGUCUCUGAGCGCUCGUGUUUGAUUUUAAUGGGGUCACACGUUACACACACAUUCAUUUAGAGUUGAAACGAACUUUGUGACAAACUGACCCCUGGAGAACUUUUCAUGCCUAAUUGAGACGAUAACUUUAAAUCUACAGAAACUAGUACACACCGAGUUCCCUUCAACAGUCUCAAAUUAAAAAUUAAACCAAAGUUUGUGGAUGCCUUGUAUAAUAUCGACCCUCCAAACGUUAGAUAUUCAUCAGUUUUCUAAUGAAAAUGUUGCACGAGUCAGUUAUUUAUAAAGAUAAAAAACAUAACCAGAUGUUUUUCGUUUUACAUGCUCAUUUCCAGUCCCUAACCAACAUUUAGCUAUAGAAUGUUUCCCAUCUACUUACAGACGAUAGAAUGACUUCCCCACUAAAAUAAAGAGUCCUCUUUUGCUCAUGCUGGAGUUUCUCUGCUAAUGAAGUUUCUAAUAUAAAUUAAGUGAAUUUGACUUGACACUCAAAUCAUGAAAGAGGCAUUUCCACAAACAUAUUCAAGUUUGUAAAACUGUGCAAAUGCAUGAUUCAAGCACAUUUCCUUGGUUAGGGUUCGAGUCUGCUGAAAGGAAUUUGAAUAAUUGAUCAUACACCCUCUAAAAGUCGAAGUAAAUGUGAACAGGCCGUGCAUUCUGCACAAAUGUCAUUUCCAUACACAAGGAGAUAAUCUGAGUUGGAAACAGGUAAAUGAGUUAAAGGCAUGCAAAAACACACUGUCCUCUCACCAGAGGCAGUGAGACAGCUGUGGUAGAGCAGUUAAGUGUCUGUUCCGUAACCAGAAGGUUGUGGGAUUGAGUCCUGCUCAUCCGUUGCAGUCUUUGUGUCCUUGGGCAAGACACUUAUCCAACCUCACCUGCAGGUGGUCAGAGGGACUGGUGGGACCAGUGUUUGGCAGCCUGGCUUCAGAGUCUCAGGGCAGCUGUGGCUACAUUGUAGCUCAUCACCACCAGUGUCUGAAUGACUGACUGUGUUGUGAAGCGCCUUGGGGGAACCGGCUAGUCCAGGAAGUUAACUAGAUUUUAUUAACUAGUGUUUACAAAUUUAGACAAAAUCAGUCACAUGCGCUAACCAGUCAUUUAAAGCGACAUCCCCUUGGCCAAGUAGCCAGGGCGCAUGAUCAAUUGGGACACUGUGACAAGACGCUCACACUGUCACAUCUGAUGUGAAUCCCGCCCGGGCUCUCGUUUCUCCACCUUGCCAAAUGCAGUUUAAUGA